rnacentral:rRNA from 1 species
AAGCUCGUAGUUGAAUUUCGGGGUUAGUAGGUUGGUCAUGCCUCUGGUAUGUACUGGUCUCACUGAUUCCUCCUUCCUGAUGAACCGUAAUGCCAUUAAUUUGGUGUUGCGGGGAAUUUGGACUGUUACUUUGAAAAAAUUAGAGUGUUUAAAGCAAGCUAACGCUUGAAUACAUUAGCAUGGAAUAAUGAAAUAGGACGUUCGAUCCUAUUUUGUUUGGUUUCUUAGGAUUGACGUAAUGAUUAAUAGGGAUAGUUGGG